GAAUGAAAAAACUUGAGGAUCCCUCAGACACUGAGGAAUGGACUCAGCAAUGCCACCAACUUCAUCUUGUGCCAUGUAAGGGGGCAAGAGGAGAUCUAUCGGCAGCAUGCCGGGGGCAGGUUGGGACCAAGGGUUUAAUCCAAAAAGGAGUCACCAUUUCUGCUGCCUUUUAGGGGACUGGUUUUUAAAUCAAGCACAUGUGGAAGGAAACAUCUCCAGGUUCUUCAUUCCGUUCUAUUUUCCACAGCAGCUAAGUAAGAAAUACCAGUCAUUUUCAUCCAGGAGGCUGAUUGUUGAUUGAUUCAAAAGAUUGACGAGAACCAAAGCAGAAUGUUACCUAAAGUAAGUGGUUUGUUUUCAUUAUUUAAGAUAGUGGAAUUAAAUUCACUCAACCCUAACAUUACAAGAUAAUUAAGCAUUAUGCAUGAGAAGUGGAAGAGUGUAUGUAUUCUGUGUUCUUUGCUUUUCAUAAGAUUUGCCUUAAUAUUCAGAUUUUUUAACUAGAGUGUAUGGUAGUUAUUGCUUGCUUUGUUACCUUGUUGUUUCUGAUUUCUCUGUUCAAUUAACCUUGGGGACCAUAUCUGCAAUAUAGAUCAGAGUGAUUCCCGUAAGUCUCAGUGCAUGCAUUUUCCUACUCAUUCUUCCAUGAGAAGAGGAAUGUGUGGCAUACCUUGCACAGAAGAAGCCAGAGACACCGGCCCUCUGCAGACCGUCUGUGGGUGUCCCUUGCCUCUUUUCUACCACCUGGAUCCCAGUGGCCCCUGAAAGCACUGCAGUUUCCAAAACUCUUCUUCUGACAAGGCUACUCUUACGAUGAUUGACUGUGGUUCUCAUGCCCUCCCUUACACCAUCUCCGCCUUUCUUAUUUCCCAGAGCUGGAAACCUACCGGCUUCCAUAGGGUCAGUGUGCUGAACUCUUGCCCCUGAAGGCAAAACUUCCUAUUUCCACAGGCACAAGCUCUGUUCUGCCUUUACAGUUUGUCUCACAUAUUGAGUUUUUUUGUUGUUGUUUUGUUGUUGUUUUUAUUUUUUAGUGUGCUUUUAGAUAAUAGGGUGAUCAGCAGAAAAACAGAAUCUUCAUAUUCACCAGUACAAGAAGUCAGUGUAUGUUUUGUUGCAAACAUUCAUUCAGAGCCAUUGCCAUCCAGCUAGGCUGGAAUUUUCUCUAGCUGCAUAAAUCGCCAGUAGGUUUCAUUUUUAAAUUGGAAAGUACUAGUCUAAAGGACAGAUGAAGUUAGAAACCACAAAAGAACAAUAUUUUUUUUACAUCAUCAUCAAUCUACAACCUAUCCUGGAAAACG
rnacentral:lncRNA from 1 species